rnacentral:rRNA from 1 species
GUACACGCUGUGACUAGCAUAUCAAUAAGCGGAGGAAAAGAAACUAACAAGGAUUCCCCUAGUAACGGCGAGUGAAGCGGGAAGAGCUCAAAUUUGAAAUCUUAAAGGGUUUCCCUUUACGAAUUGUAGUUUAAAGAAGUGUUUUCUGUUGAGGUUUUGGUAAAAGUUCUUUGGAAUAGGACAUCAUAGAGGGUGAGAAUCCCGUAUUUGACCUUUACUUUCAACUUUGUGAUACACUUUCAAAGAGUCGGAUUGUUUGGGAAUGCAGUCCAAAAUGGGUGGUAAAUUUCAUCUAAAGCUAAAUAUUGGCGAGAGACCGAUAGCGAACAAGUACCGUGAGGGAAAGAUGAAAAGAACUUUGAAAAGAGAGUUAAACAGUACGUGAAAUUGUCAAAAGGGAAGCGUUUGACACCAGUGUUGUUUUUCUGAAAAUCAAUUAAAGAACUGUUUAUGCUAAGUUGUUUAGACUUUAUCAGCUAACUGUUUAGUUUUGAGCUUUUCUUUAAUGCACUUUUCAGUUAACAAGUCAACAUCAAUUUCUUUUGCUGUAAAAAAGGCCUGAGGAAGGUGGCUUGAGAUUCGUCUUAAGUGUUUAUAGCCUCUUGCCUAUGCAGUCGGAGAGAUUGAGGUCUGCAGGCGUAGAUCCUUCGGGGCUAAAUGCAUUUAUGCUAAGUUAUAGCAUUUUAUAGACAACUUGUUGACUAUGAUUUGUCUUGUAGCUUACUCGCUUAUGUUAUUUUACCUACGCUUAGGAUGUUGAAGAUGUAGCACAUCAU